CACAGUGCACACACACACCCACACCCACACCCACACCCACAUAUAUAUCACCUUGAUAGGCUUAGGAAGAUGGAUUGUCUUGGUUUGAGUCAUGUGGAGGGCUUAUUUGGCCAUUCUUGACUGUUGGAUAAAGAAUGUAACUCUUAAUUGUCAAAUGUAAAAUUUUUGGAUUCACCUCAAUCACAUCGCCCACUGUGUACGACUUCAUAUUUUCAACAGCGAACAGUCCAUGUUAGUCAAAAUAUCCAAAAAAGUUUGUUGUAUGCAGCAUGCUAAGUUCUUUUGGGCUGAAACUUGGUACAUUAGCAGGGUAGGUUGGGGAGUACCUUUUUCAUGUCUUCUGUUCCCCAUCUGAGAUUCAAUGUAGCAUAUUUAAUGUCUGUUUUGUCAUGCAUGGUGCAACCUGAAGUUGCACUAACCCCCAACAAUGCCCUAUGGAUUUGGACCCGGAUUUGCCGGGUCUUCCUGAUUUUUGCCGUUAAAUUUGUGCUUGACUGCUUGGAGACUUUUUGGCUCCCCUGGGGCCAAGGUCAAGGCCUGGCUUAGGCUAUGACUCAAAACAGCUGGCUGGUGAUUGGGCUUACCUCGGCCUCACCAUUUACACUAGCCGAUAUGCAAUGUGGAUUCAGAUUAAUGGCAAGAUUCAAAAUAGCAUGCAUUUAAUGAAACUUGCUGGUUAUCAUGGAGAAAAGCUGAACCAAAAACAAAAGUUGACAAAGAUGCUUUGUUUAUAUACGAUGAAGACAAGUGGCUGCAGCCAUUAGACGAAAUAAUUUGAUGUUAAAUAAGGUUCCAGAAGGAGAAGGGGAAGGCUAUAAAGAAUGUUGGAGAAAGACAUGAUUUAGGAAGAUAUGGCUCUAGAUAUGAUGCAAAAGGAAUAGUUGUGUAGUUGAUCCCAAAUAGUUGGAAUUAGGCUUUGGUAGGUUGUAGUUGAGCUACAAGCUUUCUGCUAGUGCAGUGAUUUUUUCUUUGGAUGGAUAGCAAAUUAUGUUGCUUUUGAAGAAAAGAGAUAUUUUUAGAAGUUGAUACUUAAUCCCCUUGAAAUGUGGAAAGAAAAUAACUAAAGAUGGUACCCGGAACUACAAGAGAACAUAUAAAUAGGAGCUGAACUUGUUAUUUUGCAUAUGAUAUUUUCUUGAUUGUCUCUUCUGCUAUUUCAUAUGAAUGGAGAGCUCUAUUAUUAGACCGCAAUAUCUGAUUCUCAUUUUCCCCUAAUUAUAAUGUAUCCAUUAACUGCAGCAUAUAUUUCUUGGCAUGCCUUUUAACUGCAAUUUCCCUUGCUUAUCCUUUUCUUUUGACUGCUGUAUAUGAUGUAACUAUUGGGUACAAGCAUCGCUGCCCUCUCUUCAUGGAUAAUUUAUGUGGUGUUGAUCCUGCGGAAGUGCACAUUCAUGUUCAGCAUAUCCUCCUCAGUGAGAUUCCAACCUCUGAGAACGAGGCUGCUGCUUGCUGAUUUUACUGCUCAAGGCUGUUUCCCCAAUCAACAAAAAGAAGAAAGUCUCUCAACAUUCAAGUGCCUGGUAAACUUUCUAGUGGUGAUUUCUUUCACCAGCAUAUGUGUAUUCCUUACAUUUUUCUCAUAUGUCUGGUUCAAAAUAUAUAUAGCAUCAGGUUAUGCUUAUCUUUCAUCUGCUACCUACUUCAAUUUUCGACCAUUGCCAGUUAUAGGUUAUUUGAAGGCUAUGCUUGGUGACAAGCAAUCUAAGUUGUGACCAAGUAUGCCACUGGAUUAGGAGAGUUCAAAUUUUUUCAGCACCUGACAAAUUCUUGCUCUUAUACUUAAUUGUGGAUUUCUGUAUGUCUUUUGUUAAACAAGCACUUUUGCACCAUUUAUUUUAUAGUGAACACUACAGAACCAUGGAAAAAUCCGAGCCCUUUUCAAUGUACCAUUGUAUUUGCCAAGAACAGAAGUAGAAUUGAUUGUAUGGUGUUGAAGAGUUUAGAUUGUAGUGAUAUUUCUCAAUUAAUGAAAUACAAGUUCACCUCAUGAAGAGACGAUGUACAAGAAGGAAAGAGUACAAACUGUACCAGGUAAGAACUGUUGGUGCUUUUGUGUAUUUGCUAUAAAUAUCAUUGUCUCAGGACCACUGUUGCAGUAUUUAUGUUGUCGUGAAUAUCACCAUGGCAAAAUCCGUGCCUUCUUCAAGAUUAUUGCUUUUGGAGAAAUUUGCUUCUGGAAUUAAUGUUCUAGUACACCCCACGGUUCUUGAGUCUAUUCUUCCAUUCUAGACACAGUAGCCUUUCUGAUAUGGAGAAUUUGGCAACAUAUGCUCUUCGUGCCUCAUGUGUUAAAAUCUAGAGUGGAGGUGGUUAGCAGGGAUUAAGUUCUGCUUUUGACUAGUUCUCGGUAUUUUUAACUGCUGUGGUUAGCAUUAUGAGUGAAACUUUGUAAUCAGUAUAUAGUGCUGAUAGAAAGCUCUAACACUCUUGCAACAUAUUCCUGAGAAAUUGUUUAGAAUAUUUUUUUCAUGGCGAGAAGAUUCCCACUGGCAGUAUGCAGAUCAAUGUUUGCACAACCCCUAAUAUUUCACUGUUCUUCCAAAUCAGUGAAAUGUCUAAAAAAUCGGGCCGUUCCCCAUUGGAAUGUCCGAAAGGGGAAACCGGACGUCACAUCCUAAAACAGGCAUCGGAAGGAAUCCUCUCCCUUCCUUAUUCAGCUGUUUCAUUCCAUUACUAACCAAGGCUAAAUUUUUGGCCAUGGCUUAUGAGGUAUCUGAGAAACUCUUUGAGCAUGUUCUGUUCUGAAAUAUUCUUUUCUUGCCAAAAUCAUGGCUGGUUGAAUUUUUUUUUCGUUUUGGGGUUGGGGUAUAGGUAUUUUCCAUUAGGCAACCACAAUAUUGGCCACUGAUGACUAAAUCAAACUUUUGUCUUCCACUUUGCUUUAAGUUUUUGGCUGUCAUGACAUGACUUUCUGUAUAUGUGGACUGGGGGGGGGCUUUCUUAGUUCAGAAAUUUAUACCCAGUAAAGAUGUGGAAAGGUUCCAUAUGGUUUGGGGAUUGGAGGGAGCUCAAAAGUUCAGUUUCCACACCCUGUAGCCUAAAUCUUUGAAUGAUUUUAGUCUUGUAUGUCUAAUUCCUGAACAAAACAAGAAAAGGCCAAAUAUGAAACAAACAAUUACUAGCCAUAAUCUUUUAUCCCUUUCUGUUAUAAACAGAAUUUUAUUAAUAAGGAACAUAGAAGCAGAAUUCAGCAAGAUGCACUCUUAAAACAGCUCUGCAGAGGUCAAAGGAUCAGUUUGGGAAACAUUUGUGACUCAAUAGAAACCUAAUUGGUUGCCAUUCAAUUGAAUCUAGUUGAGUGAGAUAUUCUUACUGUGCGAUGAUCUACAUUACAUCUUGCCUUUCUAUAGGAACCCCAUGAUUUUUUCCAUCUCAAGGACACAUUUAUUUACUGAUUUAAUCAUGGAGGUUUGAAGCACAAAGUAUAAACCAUAUACUAGUGUUUCAUUAUUUAUUAAAAAAAAAAAAAAAAAAAUAAAAAAAUAAUACUUGUGUUGGGACCUUAAGUAGCCAUAAUCUUUGUUCCAAUUAGAGUACCAAACCCUGAUUAAUCUUUAAAGAUUUACGAAAUUGCUUAGUUUUCCUUUUGAAAUUUUGCUAAAACAUUACUCGACUAAGUUUUUCUUUACAAAUAAACAUAGUGAUAUGACCCCAUGGUUGGAAUCUUAUGGUAUAAAAAUCUUCUGCCGCACUGCACUGAUGCAGCGAGGAUCUGGAUGGCCGAGAGCACCUCGGGAUGUGUGCCCGGGUGCUCCCAGCCACUUAGAUCCUCACCGCACCAGUGUAGUGCAGCAGAGAAUGAUUGCUCAAUCUUAUGUUAUGAAUACACUCAACUCCAGCAUGACUAUUUACAAAGUCGACAUUAUGCCUCCCUACUGGGGUGAUAUUGAUGAUAUCACCGUGGAAUAAGGAAAACUCAGUUCUAAACUUUUAUGCUCGAAUCUUGAGAUUUCAAAUAGAAGGAAUUACAUGAAUCCACAGGGGACAAAUUCUUCGAACUCUAAAAGCAGUACAUAACCUUCUUCCUCCCCUCCCUUUUAUAUUCGUACUUUGCCUCCAUGGUUUAUUGAUUGAGGAAUUUUCUUGUGCAUUCCUGCAAAUUGUUGAUGUAUUUGGGACCUCUAAUGGGUUAUUAUAAGCUUUAAAGCCUCUAUGGGAUCAGAAGGUCUUAUAAAAAAAUUUGCUCAGGUCGAAUUUGUUGAAGCCCUAGGUACAUGAACAAUUUACAUAAAUAAUUACGCUACGAGAAUAAAUUAUAAAGGAGCCAAAAUAAUUUAUAAUCUACUUGCCUGGUUUUCUCUUUGUCAUUAUGACUUUGGCUUUUCCUCCGAAGAUUGAUUUUUUUCGUAUCUUUGAAUGAUGGAGGCAUUUUCUAUCCUUCUCUUCUCAUGUGGAGAAUUAAAAUAAACUACUAUUAGUUUUUUUCUCUUUGACAUGCAGGCCAUGGUCAAUGCCUCUUAUUUGAUUAGAUUUAUGAUGUGUUUUAGGGAAUUUUGAUAAUUGACAAAAGUAAUAUGAUUUUACUCUUACAAAUUCAAAAACUAAGUGGUAAGUGUUGUAAGCGUUGAUUUUUAGGGAGGAAUUGGACUCCUAGAUGAAGCGGGCUUACUCAGGGAACUUUGAUGGGUUUAAGGUUUGGUUUGGUGUUUAAUGUUUCUUACCUCUAAUUUUUCAUAUUAUUAUUUCGACCAUGUUGUUUUUCUAAUCUUAUUCAAUGGAUCCCAUUUGUUUUGACAGAGGAAAAGUUUGAUGAAGCAACUUACAACUUGAGAGGGAUUAAGAUGCACUGGAUGCUGCUGUUGUAUGUCUUCUUAUUUUAUUUUUCUUUUCUUUUACUUCUUACCAAUUUUUUCUGUCUCAGGCUUUGCCACUUUUGGAUACCAUUCUGGAGUGGAAGGGAUCCUUUUGGGAAAGUUGAGUACUGACGAAAUGGGAGGGACACAUAGGGCUUUCGAACUGCUGUUUCCAUCUAAGGAUCUGCCUCUACUCUUGUUAGUAUACGUGCUAAUCCAGAUGUUUUCUGCUGAAGAUCAAUUGAUUAAGGAUUUUGAACUUGAACAAAACAGAGAGUAAGGUAAGGACUUCACUAUUUUUUUUUUUAUAUGGAACUGGAAACGACACUAGUGGCUCUCAAUUGGACUUUGUAGCUGAAUUUGCUCAAUUCUUAACUUGAACUCCCUUCCUUUUCCUUUGGGAGUGGUAUAUGAGUGAGCUCUCUCAAUUUACUAUAAGUGGCUUCCUUUGUUUUGAUGAAGACUUUUCCUUUGACCUUUUGUUUGUGGGUGGGUAACGUGUUUACUAUUGAUUCAGUUUGCGACCUUACUAAUAUAAAGGCAAGUGCAUGUAUGAGGACACAAGGAUUUGUAUUGAUGAUUUUGAGAAAUUACUGGUUCUGUGCCUUUGCUUUAUGUUAGAAGCAAUUCCUUAAUUCUGUUAUUUUUUUUUUUAAUGAUUUUUUAAAUUUAUUUUAAAAGCAUGUAGUUUUCUAGUUUGAUAUUAACCUAGAGGCAGGAGGCUUUAUUCUGUGUUGAAAGAGAUGAGUAUCAGAUUGAGACUUGAGGUUUGACCUCCAGUCACUAUUUAUCAAAGUGGUAGAUAGAAUAUUCAUAUUGUUAGUUUUUGUGAUAUUUUAUUAUCAUUAUCACCUUGGUUGUUUGACCCUUUAUUUACUAUUCAAGAAUGCCACAUUUGUUUUAGUAUCUAGAGGAGGACAAAGAAAAUCUAGUGUAUGCACCAAAACCAAAUUACAAAGGGUGCUACAAAUGGAAAAAUUUGAAUAACGAGGAAGAGCUCAUAAGAUAAUGGUUUAUUCAUGUGGAAGAGGUGAAAGCUUAUACAUAUGUCACAUAUUAUGUUGAUUUCUUUGACUGGCAAUUUUUGGAAGGAAAAUUUCAUUCAACCGAGAAAACCAUACGAAUAAGACAAAGAAGAAAGGGAUGGCAGGGGAGAAAGGGGAGGUGGAGAAGUGGAAAUUCUGUUCCUCUGUUUCCUUUCUCUGAUUCCUUCCAACUGAAUUCACUUGUCGUAUUACAUCAAAGAGAUGUAGAUUAGGUUUUCUUACUUGAUGGAUUCAACACGAUAGUGGUAGAAACAAAUCGGAUUGGAAUGUGGCUGCUACUCGGAGAAGUCAUAGGAUCCAAUAAGAAGCAACAUUGCAUGGCAUAGAUAGAAAACAGAUUAGCUUUAUGUAUGC